AGCGAACGCUGGCGGCAGGCCUAAAACAUGCAAGUCGAACGCUGUAGCAAUACAGAGUGGCGCACGGGUGAGCAACACGUGGGAAUGUGCCUUUUGGUACGGAACAACUUUUGGAAACGAAAGCUAAUACCGUAUGGUCCCUUCGGGGUAAAGAUUUAUCGCCAAAAGGGCAGCCCGCGUCUGAUUAGCUAGUUGGCGAGGUAAUGGCUCACCAAGGCGACGAUCAGUAGCUGGUCUGAGAGGACGAUCAGCCACACUGGGACGGAGACACGGCCCAGACUCCUACGGGAGGCAGCAGUUAGGAAUAUUGGACAAUGGGCGCAAGCCUGAUCCAGCCAUGCCGCGUGAGUGAUGAAGGCCUUCGGGUUGUAAAGCUCUUUAGCCGAUGAAUAUAAUGACUGUAGGCGGAAAAUAAGCCCCGGCUAACUUCGUGCCAGCAGCCGCAGGAA
rnacentral:rRNA from 1 species